AGGACGAACGCUGGCGGCGUGCUUAAUACAUGCAAGUGGAGCGACGAACCAGGCUUCGGCCUGGGGCAAAGCCGCGAACGGGUGAGUAUCACGUGGGUAACGUGCCCCGAUGACCGGGACAACCCGAGGAAACUCGGGCUAAUACCGGAUGUGAUGUGCGACCUUAAGGUCACACAACAAAGGAAGCUUCGGCCUCCGCAUUGGGAGCCGGCCCGCGG
rnacentral:rRNA from 1 species